GGACGGGGCCCGCACAAGCGGCGGAGCAUGCGGAUUAAUUCGAUGCAACGCGAAGAACCUUACCAAGGCUUGACAUACACCGGUAACGCCCCAGAGAUGGGUGCCCCUUUGUGGUCGGUGUACAGGUGGUGCAUGGUUGUCGUCAGCUCGUGUCGUGAGAUGUUGGGUUAAGUCCCGCAACGAGCGCAACCCCUAUUGUUAGUUGCCAUCAUUCAGUUGGGCACUCUAGCGAGACUGCCGGUAAUAAACCGGAGGAAGUGGGAUGACGUCAAAUCAUCAUGCCCCUUAUGACCUGGGCUACACACGUGCUACAAUGGUUGGUACAACGAGUUGCGAGUCGGUGACGGCGAGCUAAUCUCUUAAAGCCAAUCUCAGUUCGGAUUGUAGGCUGCAACUCGCCUACAUGAAGUCGGAAUCGCUAGUAAUCGCGGAUCAGCACGCCGCGGUGAAUACGUUCCCGGGCCUU
rnacentral:rRNA from 1 species